CAUCGUCAACUUCACAUCAUGAUGUUACAGGAGCAAGAGAACGGUAAUGAACCUGUGCUGCCGUUCGCAUCCCAGUGCUUUAGAAAGUGGCAACAGAGAUCAGAAAAUGAAGUACCAAAUUGAUUGCAGCCGUGUAGUCUAUAUAUGUACAUAGAGUAAUACUUACAGAGUAGUCCAGUACAGAACUAGUGUGACAAGACUGUGGCAUGGAAAUUCCUGCCCUUUUCCCCAAAUGGCAAAAUGGGACCAGAGUUUCUGGGUCCCCCCUUACUUGAGUCUCAGAGGGCUCUGAACAAGAGCUCUUAAAAAGGCAAAAGACGUGAGUCCCAGAGGUCACCACGUAUAACUUGCAUGUAAUUUCACCUCCAAAGCUCCAUUCUCCCCUGGCUCCCUGGGCCUGGGCUGCAAUGGGGGGAAGAGACUUUUCCUCCUUUUACUGAGCAUGUCCCUCUCCAGCCACUGCCACAGUGGAACAAACUCAUCCUUCUUGUUGUCUAAGGUAAUGCCAAUCCUGGCAUCUCUCUGAUCUGCUCACUUCACAGAGUAAGGGGCCUGGGGCUGCCAGGUUUAUAGAUAGUAAAUAUUGUUUCAGAGUCCCCAGCCUCCACCCACUUGUAUGCACAGUCCUGCACCUGCGCCUUGAAAUUCUUAAUUCUAACAUAAUGAUAAAUGGCCCUUGCCCUUUUCAUUGGUCUUAUUGGACAUUCCCCCUUUUUUUCUUUUAUUUUUUUUCUUAUUCUUUUUUUUUAAUCUUGAAUUGUAAUUAUUUUAUAGUGUCUUUUUUAUGUGCCUAAAUUUUGUGUGCCACACUCAUGAGGUCUUUUGAAGUCCUUUUUUUUUUUUUUUUUUUUUUUUUAAAAAUUUUGGUUUGUUUUUUUUUUUUUUUCACCCCUUUUCUUUUUUAAAGGCCAUUUACGUUAUGAUUAAAUGCCAUCUUGGAAAGGCAGAACGAAAGUCGUUAAUCUAUAUAGAUCUUCAAAGAAUCGAUACAUUCGGGACUUCUGUAGGAUUUGUUACACUCCAUUUUGUUACAGUAGGCAGCUCGUCUGGAUUUGGGCACAUGUGUUUCUCUCCCUCCCCUCGCCCCCCCUCUCUUCCAGCUUCCCCCCCCCAAGAGUGAAAAUAAAGUAAAAGGUCUUUCAUGGUAAACAAAACCAGCUUAUUCUCCACAUAGAACACAUGAAUAGCUGGAAAAAAACUUACAAUAAAUGGUGCAUUUUUUUCUCUGCUGGGUAUAGCAUUCAAGAUCAGUCCAGUAUUCAAGAAGCAGUCCAUUUUUUGCUCAGCAAGAGAGUUUAGAAAAGAAGCGUGGGGUCUAUUCAAGGAUCUUUUCCCCUUCACAAUUGCUGGGCUUUAUGAAACCUAUCUUCCAUGCCUUGUCAGAGUAUUUCUGGGGACCAAUUAGUGCUUUGUUGCAAGGCUUCUUUGCUGAAUCUUUGAGCAGCAAGAAAAAGCUCUCUCGAGUCUCCCCUUAUUUUGACUAUUUCAGUCAUUACUCAGUGUAAUAAUUAAUAUGACAACUGGACGCUGAAGUUUGUAUAGAAACACCUCGGCUGCAGGAGAGAGCGUGCAGUGGGUGGUAACAAGCUACAGAUCAGACCGAGAAGCCACACACACAAGGAAAAAAAAGAGAGGGAGAGAGAAUAAUGAAUGAAAAGAAAGAGGGAAAGAAUAAAGAUAAAUAAAUAGUUGGCACAACCCGAAGAAACAUAAUACAGACUUGGAAGAAAAAAGAAAAAAAAAAAAAAAAAAGGCAAUUAAGAGGCAGGGGAGGGGGCGGGGGACCCCAGAGUGGCAAACUUAUUUUGAAACAGUUUCUAUGUGAAUAUAAUUUUCAAAACUUUCUUACUUUUAGGAGGCAGGAAAGCGAUUUUUCCUGGUGACUAUUCCUUCGGGGUGGAUGGAAGCUACUUCCCGGGACAGCAAGUUGCAGGAGUUUUCUGGUGUUGUAUCGUCUACCAGAGGAAUAAAGCCUGUGCCACCGAUGAAGAAUUAAAAAUGACGUUUGACCAGGGACACUGCUGAAUUCUUCUCGAAAAGGCGCCUUGGGAUGAACCCUCAUCACUUUGGAGACAUUUCUUGGGCUGCCAAUUAGGGCAUAAUAAAUAAUUAGAGGUUUUAAGCAUA